rnacentral:rRNA from 1 species
GGUUAAGCGACUAAGCGUACACGGUGGAUGCCCUGGCAGUCAGAGGCGAUGAAGGACGUGCUAAUCUGCGAUAAGCGUCGGUAAGGUGAUAUGAACCGUUAUAACCGGCGAUUUCCGAAUGGGGAAACCCAGUGUGUUUCGACACACUAUCAUUAACUGAAUCCAUAGGUUAAUGAGGCGAACCGGGGGAACUGAAACAUCUAAGUACCCCGAGGAAAAGAAAUCAACCGAGAUUCCCCCAGUAGCGGCGAGCGAACGGGGAGCAGCCCAGAGCCUGAAUCAGUGUGUGUGUUAGUGGAAGCGUCUGGAAAGGCGCGCGAUACAGGGUGACAGCCCCGUACACAAAAAUGCACAUGCUGUGAGCUCGAUGAGUAGGGCGGGACACGUGGUAUCCUGUCUGAAUAUGGGGGGACCAUCCUCCAAGGCUAAAUACUCCUGACUGACCGAUAGUGAACCAGUACCGUGAGGGAAAGGCGAAAAGAACCCCGGCGAGGGGAGUGAAAAAGAACCUGAAACCGUGUACGUACAAGCAGUGGGAGCACGCUUAGGCGUGUGACUGCGUACCUUUUGUAUAAUGGGUCAGCGACUUAUAUUCUGUAGCAAGGUUAACCGAAUAGGGGAGCCGAAGGGAAACCGAGUCUUAACUGGGCGUUAAGUUGCAGGGUAUAGACCCGAAACCCGGUGAUCUAGCCAUGGGCAGGUUGAAGGUUGGGUAACACUAACUGGAGGACCGAACCGACUAAUGUUGAAAAAUUAGCGGAUGACUUGUGGCUGGGGGUGAAAGGCCAAUCAAACCGGGAGAUAGCUGGUUCUCCCCGAAAGCUAUUUAGGUAGCGCCUCGUGAAUUCAUCUCCGGGGGUAGAGCACUGUUUCGGCAAGGGGGUCAUCCCGACUUACCAACCCGAUGCAAACUGCGAAUACCGGAGAAUGUUAUCACGGGAGACACACGGCGGGUGCUAACGUCCGUCGUGAAGAGGGAAACAACCCAGACCGCCAGCUAAGGUCCCAAAGUCAUGGUUAAGUGGGAAACGAUGUGGGAAGGCCCAGACAGCCAGGAUGUUGGCUUAGAAGCAGCCAUCAUUUAAAGAAAGCGUAAUAGCUCACUGGUCGAGUCGGCCUGCGCGGAAGAUGUAACGGGGCUAAACCAUGCACCGAAGCUGCGGCAGCGACGCUUAUGCGUUGUUGGGUAGGGGAGCGUUCUGUAAGCCUGCGAAGGUGUGCUGUGAGGCAUGCUGGAGGUAUCAGAAGUGCGAAUGCUGACAUAAGUAACGAUAAAGCGGGUGAAAAGCCCGCUCGCCGGAAGACCAAGGGUUCCUGUCCAACGUUAAUCGGGGCAGGGUGAGUCGACCCCUAAGGCGAGGCCGAAAGGCGUAGUCGAUGGGAAACAGGUUAAUAUUCCUGUACUUGGUGUUACUGCGAAGGGGGGACGGAGAAGGCUAUGUUGGCCGGGCGACGGUUGUCCCGGUUUAAGCGUGUAGGCUGGUUUUCCAGGCAAAUCCGGAAAAUCAAGGCUGAGGCGUGAUGACGAGGCACUACGGUGCUGAAGCAACAAAUGCCCUGCUUCCAGGAAAAGCCUCUAAGCAUCAGGUAACAUCAAAUCGUACCCCAAACCGACACAGGUGGUCAGGUAGAGAAUACCAAGGCGCUUGAGAGAACUCGGGUGAAGGAACUAGGCAAAAUGGUGCCGUAACUU